GUCAAACCAGAUCUAACGGAAGGAUCCAGAUAGAAAAAAAUCAAGAGUUGAAUUACUUAUGAAUUGACAUUUAUAGUUCAGGGACCUAGAAAAAAAGUGUUUAUAGUUCAGGGACUUUAGAAUUAAUUUUCCCACAUAGAAAAGGCUGAACACAUAAUUUAAUUUAUGGGUCGUACAUGGCUUGGACCGAAGACGAGACACUGAGACCGUCCACUAUCCGUUCCCAGGAGGGAUGAACACUACUAGAAUUAUCGAGUAUUGCAACGAAAUUUUCCGAUGCGAAAAUUGUUGCAGUGGAACAUCAUAUGUGCCAAUCCAUGCAGAACGUCCAUAAGAGGGACGAAGGAAACUGGUGAUUGCCUGCCUGUUCAUCCUCCCAAGCCUUGAUCAUGGAGUGGGUGAAAAAGUCAUUAUUCAUCCUGGAAUCAACAACCAUGAAGCCUGUCCAAUUGAUUAAAUAUUAAAAAGAUAAAUUUUACUAGUUUUGAUGUCACAAUCAAAGCAAAAAAAAAAAACAAUGAGUCAAACAGUUCGUGAGCUACUCGACCUCGACUCGUAAAAUAUUCGAAUUUGGCUCAAAAAUAACUGAGUUGAACUCGAACUCGAGCUAUUCAAAUAGUUUACCGAGCCGAGUUCAAACUUCAUAUUAAUCGAUUCGUGAGGCUCGCGAGCCUAAUCGAGCACCUCUUUGGACUUCUAUUGAAUUUGAGCGAAUCAGCUCUCCCGAAAGAUAUGUUGAUGAAGAGUGAGAAAGCUCUAUCAAAGCUUUGGGCCUUUCCUACGCAGCUUAGAUGGAAGGCGAAGGAGAGUCAUGUUCUAUGACAAGAGUCUACCAACGGAAGCGAGAAUGUCAGCUUGAGUAAUGCAAACAUUGGUGAGAAUCCAAUGCCCCGAAAACUUAAAGGUUCCUCCGCAUAAGUGCGGUUCCUCUGUUUGUUGCGAGAGAGCAGGAAGGCACUCAACCUUAUGUUGUGAGGAAGCGCGAGUUUUCAAAUCUCGCGGAACAUGAUGUUAUACGAUUAGAUAGAAUGUAAUAGAAACAAAGACGGGGAGAAAAGAUUUAUUAUUGACGAGCUACGAAACCAAUUAUCUUAUUAUAAUUAUUUCUAUAUUAUUAUAUAAAAUAUUCCAUUUUUUAUGUAUUUUUAUAAUAUCAUGUUUUGAGUUUUUGUUAAUAUUUGAUGAGAAGCAUACACAGGCACGCGUUCGUAAUUCGUGAAUCCAACGAGUAGGCCUACUACUUGUUGCGAGCACACGCGAGUGAUGCCUGUCGGAGAUUCUGCCCGCCAUCAUCUCUUCCGUUGCUCCCUUUGGCCAGGGUAAAUGCAUGCCACGACAUCUUCA
rnacentral:lncRNA from 1 species